rnacentral:rRNA from 1 species
UUGGUGAUUCAUGAUAACUUUACGGAUCGCAUAGCCUUGCGCUGGAGACGGUUCAUUCAAAUUUCUGCCCUAUCAACUUUCGAUGGUAAGGUAUUGGCUUACCAUGGUUUCAACGGGUAACGUGAAUUAGGGUUCGAUUCCGGAGAGGGAGCAUGAGAAACGGCUACCACAUCCAAGGAAGGCAGCAGGCGCGCAAAUUACCCAAUCCCGACACGGGGAGGUAGUGACAAUAAAUAGUGAUACAGGGCUCUUUUGGGUCUUGUAAUUGGAAUGAGUACAAUUUAAACCUCUUAACGAGGAACAAUUGGAGGGCAAGUCUGGUGCCAGCAGCCGCGGUAAUUCCAGCUCCAAUAGCGUAUAUUAAAGUUGUUGCAGUUAAAAAGCUCGUAGUUGAAACUUGGGUCUGGCUGGCGGGUCCGCCUCACCGCGUGCACUCGUCCGGCCGGGCCUUCCUUCUGAAGAACUCACCGCGUGCACUCGUCCGGCCGGGCCUUCCUUCUGAAGAACCUCAUGCCCUUUACUGGGCGUGUUGGGGAAUCAGGACUUUUACUUUGAAAAAAUUAGAGUGUUCAAAGCAGGCCUUUGCUCGAAUACGUUAGCAUGGAAUAAUAAAAUAGGGCGUGCGUUUAUAUUUUGUUGGUUUCUAGAGACGCCGCAAUGAUUAACAGGAACAGUCGGGGGCAUCAGUAUUCAGUUGUCAGAGGUGAAAUUUUUGGAUUUACUGAAGACUAACUCAUGAGAAAGCAUUUGCCAAGGAUGUUUUCAUUAAUCAGCGAAUGAAAGUUAGGGGAUCGAAGACGAUCAGAUACCGUCGUAGUAUUAACCGUAAACUAUGCCGACUAGGGAUCGGGCGAUGUUAUUUUUAGACUCGCUCGGCACCUUACGAGAAAUCAAAGUAUAAGGUCUGACGGAUACGGCAUGCA